CGUGUCUUCGGACUAGUCCCGGACGGGUGAGUAACGCGUGAGUAUCUACCUUCGGGUCGGGGAUACCCCCUGGAAACGGCGGCUAAUACGGGAUAGGUCGAAAGAGCAAAGGUUUAUUGCCUGAAGAGGGGCUCGCGUCUGAUUAGCUUAUAGGUGUGGUAAGAGCGCACCUAGGCGACAAUUAGUAGCUGGUCUGAGAGGAUGAGCACCCACGCUGGGACUGAAACCCGGCCCAAACUCCUACGGGAGGCAGCUGGGCGGAAUUUUCCGCAAUGGCCGAAACCCUGACGGAACAAGACCGCGUGGGGGAAGAAGGCCUUUGGGUUGUAAACCCUUUAUGUUAGGAAAAAAAAAAAUGACGGUCCCUAAUAAAUCCUCCUCGGCUAACUCCGUGCCCGUCCCCGCGGUAAUACGGAGGAAGCAAGUGUUAUCCGGAUUUAUUGGGCGUAAAGCGUCCGUAGUGGCCCGGCAAGUCUGCUGUCAGAGACCACAGCUCAAGAUUGUGG
rnacentral:rRNA from 1 species